rnacentral:lncRNA from 1 species
CGAAAUCAAUAUUUUGAACAGAUCACAGAACAAAUGAAAUUCGUCCAAAAAAACACUAAAUUAGUCUAUUACAAUCUUUACACUACUACAACUCAAAUAUGCCUACUACAGCCUACUAUCACAAUACAUGAUAUGCUACUCUUUGCAUAUAGGCUUCACGACUUCACGCUUGGGUUCAUAUUAGGGGUGGAGCUCCUGUAAAAGAGGAACCAGCUAAAAAAGUUACAUGCAACAUUAUUUCCUAUAGAUCAGCUUGCUGCAUAUUAAUCUAACGCUGCCUUCUACUUGCAGACUAGAAGUGUCCCUUGAGAGAAACCAGAACUUAGAAUUGAAGCAUGGAUCAUAUUCUAAACACUACAGUAUCAACACCAUGGCAGUAACAAAUUAACAGUAGCAGGACAUUAAUGGGGCACAACUUAGUUAGCUACUAAUGUUCACCAAAUUCAAAGAUUGUAUGCUCUAGCUAACAAAAAUAUAAUACCAUGCUUAGGAGCUGAGAGCGAGAAAAGUAUGUGUCGCAUAAGAGAUACCAAAAUCGAUACUGAUCAAGGAUAAAAACAUGUAGAUAUCAUAUAAUUCCCAUCACAAUCAUACAUUGAAUUCAUUAAAGGCUGCAGAUUCAUUUCUUAGACAUAGAAUUGGAAAAUCACAAGAAUAGCAGAUUCACCAAUGUGUCCAAAUAAGACAAGGAAGAGAGUGGGACAGACCAAGGACUUACGCUGUGGACAGAUCAAAGAUGCCUCCUCUUCCUCGGUGGACAGAUCAAAGAACUAACAGCUAUAGACAUACACAAGGAUCGGUGUUAGCAGAAUUAUGAUAUAUUUGUACAAGGCAAUCGCAGGUACCAAUCCAGUGCAAGAUAAUAGAGAAAAUAUGUCAAAGUUAUUCAGAUUUACUAAUGUGUUUUCCAUACUACAAAUAUUCAAGAUAAAAGAUGUGUACUGAUUCAACACUGCAAACUUAUUCCUGAAAGCGUUACUGUGUAGAUAAGUGAACUGAGCAUUGUUUUUUGUUGACUCUAGUACCUAUAAAGUUGACAGAUGAUAAACUACUGCACUUAUAUACAUCCACCUAAGAAAGGACCGAUGGAAGUCGGGAUCCCAACUUAUUCAAAUUAGAGAAGUUCAUUUAACUUGCACAAUCCAGAGAGAAAUAUGUCCAGACUUGGAACAUAAGGAAAGACACCAAUAUAAGCAAGAAUUUACAACAAAGUAGACAUUAAUUAUAACAUAGCAGCUCUAGCUAUGUUGUUGUUUGCAUAUUAAAACCAGUAGUUGACCAUAGACGCAAAUAUAUAAGUACAAUACUUGAGAUAAAAUAAAAACAGAAUCUAUAAAGCUUGGAGCAUAUGAUAUAGUAAUUGGCAUGCUGAAUUUUUGCAGAUAAGCAUCAAAUUGG